UGUUUGGAAGGCCGUUGGUGUAUAACAGAAACGAGAGGAUAUUAUCCAAACAUAUCAAGCUUCAGCUAUCAUGAAGACUUGGAGUUUAUAUGCGUUGGUCACCCCAUGCACAAUUUCCUAUCGAUGUCAAGCCAUCCUUAGAAGCAGGCAUCGAUACAUCAGAAAAAGGCUUCCUUUGCAUCAACCCUGGGACAAAUGAGCUGACUUUUGUCGUGAGCCACAACUUUAGGCUGACUCCACUCGAAGAGGGACUGUGUGACACAGAGACACAUCAAGUAAUUUUAGAAACAAUUUAUCUAGAAUUUCAUUUGCUAAACCACCCUUUGUGAAAAGAAUUAAGAGGGUUUUCAAACUACUGAGUGAUGAUCAGUUGUAAGCAACAUUGUAUAUGGAAACUGAUACUACACCAAUGAGUGAACGUUUGAUGGCAGUUUACAAAAAACUUCAAUAUAUUUUAUUUUAUUAUACACAUACAACUAUAGCAUUGCCUGCCAUUGGGAGCUGUCAAGUAAGACAAUUCAUAUUCCAUCCACAUUCUAUUAAAACCUUAGAUAAAGGAGUCUACUGUAUGAUAUUGUUUAUAGGGAGGGGUCUUGUGAGGCUCAUUCAUUACUGACAGCAAAACAGUUAAUUAGUGCCCUUGAUGUAGACAUUACAGCUAAGGUAUCAGAUAUUUUGAAAGCUAUUUAUUUAAUAUGAUGAUGAAGACUGGAAAACUAUAUAGAAUUAUUUAAAAAAAUAUUGUUAAAUAUUAUGGAUACCAUUACAUUAAAGAAACUGACUUUUAUGUAAAAUUUCAACCUGUGUUCCAAGAUUUAAAAUGCUUUAAUUUUUAGUGUCUGUUAAAUGUUGAACAAUGUCAUAUUUAUUCAGAAUAAAAUAAUUAGUCGGGAAUAUUAUCAAAUAUAAUCAUGUAUUGGAGAAACAAUUUAAGCCCACUAAUAAGGUUCAGGUAUAUUAUAAGGGGUGAAAAAAUAUCGGAAUAGAUAGGAAUAUUUCAUGGCACAUGUGAGUGAACAAGACAAUGUUAACAGCUAUUCAUGUUUUCACAACAUCACACAAGCGUACGCACGCGCACGCGCACGCGCACGCACACACACACACGCACACACACACACGCACACACACACACGCGCGCGCGCGCACACACACACACACCCACCAUCAAUAUUAUUUUCAUAAAAUGUUUAGAUGUAAAAUUCUCAAGGGUUUUUCAGAAGUAUUUUCCAUAUAUUGUGUUUCUACUGUUGCACACAUUUAAAAUAAAAUAAAAAUUAUUGCUCGCUAGUAGUAUCCAUGACUUUAUCCAUUUAAACUCCAGUUAUCGUUUAUAACUGCAUUCUACAAUAAUUGAGAGCUCUUCUAAUUGAGAAUCUAAAUCUUUAAACCUCGUUCAGAGACGCCAAUAUUCUUGAAAUUGCCUGGUGUUUAAUUGUUCUUCUUUUUUAAUCGGAGUUUCGUUGGAAUAACGAUCGUAAGCCCGGGUUGCCGUCGUGCUACCACUUAUGCGGUUUCUGAGCACGGAGGAGUCGGCUGUCGCAUGGUCGCCGAGAUGUUUAAUGCAACGUGGGCCCGCGUGGCAAUUACGCGACGAGUGCCCGUAAAGCUGACGUCGGUGGCACUGCCCGGGAGAGCCACGUUUAUAAGGGGGCUUCGACCAUUACCCCAGAUAGGCCGCAAAUGGUGCGGAGACUUGAGGCAAUCCGUUUGCCUUCCGCGGUGUAUGGAAUGGAAUGGCAUACACCAUAUUGUAUGGAAACUUGUCGCGACCGCUGUGCACCCGAUGCACACUUAUUAUCGGGUAUACUUGCCUGAUGAGGUCGUCCUUGACUAGCUCGGUAUCGAGCUCCUUGGUUACUCCGUGUAUUACUACGCGGAGUUCGCGUUCCUCCUGGAGCGCAUGUGUGAUAGCUUAGGCGCUCCUUUCGGAGGUGGGCUGUCCGCGCCCUUUGGUCGUCCUGUGUGGCCACCUUAAUUUGUGUUCUGUGCGCGAUGCUACGCGCAUGGACGAAGUUCACGUUUUGUGCCUUGUAAGGCACUGGAUACGCGAUCCCACGCGGUCCUAUCUUGUAGGAUGACCGGCGGCAGCGCGGCAAUUUUGCGGACGGGUGCGGGCUUGGGGGCGUGGCGAUGGGGUUGCGCGGCGGGGGUAGUCGGGCGUGACUACGAUCUCACUCCGCCCAAACAAUUAAAUUGAAUUGUUGCGGACGAUUCCACAGCGCGGGCGCGUUUCUUGCCGCGCGCGACGGUAGUGAACCCGUCCGAGGUUCUGGGUUGCGGACUCGCGGCGGACUCUUACUCCAUUUCAGACCCGGUGUCGGAGCCGGAGUUAGCGGCCUCUGAGGACGCGAUUGAUACUGCGGGCGCAGGGGUGGGGGGGAAAGCGGCGACUUGGGGAGUACCGACGGGACCUUCGCGGCGGUGGCGAAUCGGUGCGUGGGGGUUUGAACCUAGGCUGGCCUUGUAGGCCUCGAAACGGGACAUUAUGUCCGGGCAGAAUUCCCGGACACAUUUUGCGAACAGCGCGCUGUUCGCGUCACUCAUUUUGGUGCCUGGGGGGGCGUCCCCGGGACUUAAUGUAACUCGCCGAAAGGCGAGUCCCCUGAAUGGGGUUUGACCCCCCUGCGCUGUACUUGUCAGCAGUGAUUAGCAGAGGGGGGGGGGUGCCUAUGCCGUGAAAACGACAAUCAGCUGGGAUUGGGGUGGAAUAUGGAAAGGUAGGGCCCCGCUAGGUUGUGAGAAUGCCACAACAAGCGGUGAUCGCAGUGGGGUGUUAGUCUCGAAAGAGACUGUUUUUUAAAAAGAAUAAAUAAAUAAAAAUAAUAAUGACAAUGAAAUGGAUGAUAAAAUGAAAUGAAAUUGUCGUUUUCGAGAGCAGGAAGACUAACGAACUCGAAUUACGUUUUUCCGAUUCAAGGUCGCGACGCCAGCGACAGUGCGUCAGGAAUGCACAACAAUGUCGCGAUCGGUGCGACAACGACAAUGUUGGACAACACGAAACACACGUUCGCGACGGCAGCGA